UACGGAGGGGGCUAGCGUUGUUCGGAAUUACUGGGCGUAAAGCGUGCGUAGUCGGUUAUUUAAGUCGGGUGUGAAAGCCCCGGGCUCAACCUGGGAAUUGCAUUCGAUACUGGAUAGCUAGAGUUCGGCAGAGGGAAGCGGAAUUUCCGGUGUAGCGGUGAAAUGCGUAGAUAUCGGAAGGAACAUCAGUGGCGAAAGCGGCUUCCUGGACCAGAACUGACGAUCAGGCACGAAAGCGUGGGGAGCAAACAGG
rnacentral:rRNA from 1 species